GAUGAACGCUGGCGGCGUGCCUAAUACAUGCAAGUCGAGCGAAUGGAUUAAGAGCUUGCUCUUAUGAAGUUAGCGGCGGACGGGUGAGUAACACGUGGGUAACCUGCCCAUAAGACUGGGAUAACUCCGGGAAACCGGGGCUAAUACCGGAUAACAUUUUGAACCGCAUGGUUCGAAAUUGAACGGCGGCUUCGGCUGUCACUUAUGGAUGGACCCGCGUCGCAUUAGCUAGUUGGUGAGGUAACGGCUCACCAAGGCAACGAUGCGUAGCCGACCUGAGAGGGUGAUCGGCCACACUGGGACUGAGACACGGCCCAGACUCCUACGGGAGGCAGCAGUAGGGAAUCUUCCGCAAUGGACGAAAGUCCGACGGAGCAACGCCGCGUGAGUGAUGAAGGCUUUCGGGUCGUAAAACUCUGUUGUUAGGGAAGAACAAGUGCUAGUUGAAUGAGCUGGCACCUUGACGGUACCUAACCAGAAAGCCACGGCUAACUACGUGCCAGCCGCCGCGGUAA
rnacentral:rRNA from 1 species